AUGGAAUUGGAGAGAGCGAGAGCCGAGGAGACACCUUUCCCCGUGCCGGACAUGUCCUCCCCGAGCAACAGCUUGGCGAAUCUCUCUUUCAUCAAAUCCAUUUCUGCAUCCCAAUCCGGCAGCCACGUCAAAACCUAUGCGUGCGAUUACGAACAAACUGUCACCGCCAGCGCCCAACACAUGGAGACCAUCGAACCUGAAGGCGGUCCGGCGUCCCGGACGACGUUCUUUGGCGGGAGUUGUCGACCCGGCGCGGCCCUGGACCCGUGGCUCCUCGACAGCACUCGCUUCUGCAUCGGCGGCAGUGGCGCGACGACGGCCUCCGCCUCCUCGUCCAUGCUCCGCCUGCCGCUGGUGCUGCACUGCGAGGACGACGACGACGACGACCGCAGCAACCGGGAGGAGGACGAGAAGGAUGACGAGAUCAGGGACGGACUGGACGUCAUGACUCGGCGCCUCGGUAGGAAUCUGUCGAGGCUCUGUUCAGGGUGUGGCGAGAUCGAGGCACGCAGGUAUGAGGGAAGCUAG
rnacentral:rRNA from 1 species